rnacentral:rRNA from 1 species
CGUCUAUUAAUUGUAGACUAGCAUGAAAGGCAACAUGAGGGCCUAACUGUCUCUUGUAGUUAAUCAAUUAAACUGAUCUUCCAGUAAAAAAGCUAGAAUCUUCCCAUAAGACCAGAAGACCCUGUGAAGCUUUAACUAAACUAUUAAAACAUAUAAUAACUACUUUCAGUUGGGGCGACUCUGGAAAAAAAAGAACUUCCAACAAUAACAUACCAAACCAUACAGGCCCACAAGCCACACACCAGUGACCCAGCAUAGCUGAUCAUUGAACCAAGUUACUCCAGGGAUAACAGCGCUAUCUUCUUUAAGAGCCCAUAUCAAAAAGAAGGUUUACGACCUCGAUGUUGGAUCAGGACAUCCUAAUGGCGCA